rnacentral:lncRNA from 1 species
UUAACAUUUUUCAGGCGACGAUUCUUGGGAUUUAAAAUUGAAUUUUAACAUUUUUCAGGCGACGAUUCUUGGGAUUUAAUCACCUGCUACUGCCAAAAACCUUUUGCUGGCCGACCCAUGAUCGAGUGUAGCCAAUGUGGCACCUGGAUUCACCUUUCCUGCGCCAAGGAUAAUAUUUUGGAUUUUUUGGGGGGGCUGCAGCCCCUUCACCCCAACCCCCCCGUUGUAAAUAAACGGCGCCGUUGCUUCGUACCUGCGCGGGGUUGGCGUCUGUCUGUCCGUCUGCUGCACCCCAAAAGCACGAAAGGAGCCCCAAAAACGUGAGGGGAAAAGAAAUUGGGGGUUAAAAUGUGAGGGGAGAAAAUGGGGGGAAGCGUGAGGGGAGAAAAAGAGCGGGAAACGUGAGGGGAGAAAAGAGCGGGAAAACGUGAGGGGAAAAUGGGGGCAAACGUGAGGGGAAAUGGGGGGAAACGUGAGGGGAGAAAAUGGGGGGAAUUGAGAGGGGAGAAAAGAGUGGGAAACGUGAGGGGAGAAAAGAGCGGGAAACAUGAAGGGAAAAUGGGGGAAAAUGUCAGGGGAGAAAAGAGCGGGAAAACGUGAGGGGAGAAAAAGAGCGGGAAAACGUGAGGGGAGAAAAUGGGGAAACAAGUGGAAAACGGGGGGAAUUGUGAGGGGAGAAAAGAGCGGGAAACGUGAGGGGAAAAUGUGAGGGAGGAAAGCGGGAAACGUGAGGGGAGAAAAGAGCGGGAAACGUGAGGGGAGAAAAGAGUGGGAAACAUGAGGGGAGAAAUUGGGGCUUAAAAUGUGAGGGGAGAAAAUGGGGGGAAGCGUGAGGCGAGAAAAUGGGGAAACGAGGGGAAAAUGGGGGAAAAUGUGAGGGGAGAAAACAGCAGGAAAGGUGAAGGGAAAAUGGGGAAAACGUGAGGGGAGAAAAGGGUGGGAAACGUGAGGGGAGAAAAAGAGCGGGAAGCGUGAGGGGAGAAAAGAGCGGGAAACGUGAGGGGAGGAAAGAGCGGGAAACGAGGGGAGAAAAGCGUGAGAAACAUGAAGGGAGAAACGGAUGGGAAACGUGAGGAUUAAGGUAGGAAAUGUGAGGGAGAAAAGAGGGAAAUGUGAGGGAGAAAAGAGGGAAAUGUGAGGGGGGAAAGGGUGGAGAUGUGACGGGACAGGAUGGUAGAAAUGUGAGAGGAGAAGGUGGGAAACGUGAGGGGAAAAUGUGAGGGAGGAAAGCGGGAAACGUGAGUUGAGAAAAGAGCGGGAAACAUGAGGGGAAAAUGGGGGGAAACAUGAGGGGAGAAAAUGGGGAAAUGAGUGGAAAAUCGGG